ACCUUGCCUUGACCUGUAGCUGAUGGCAGUACGUUUCCAUAAAGCAUCAGAGUAAGAAACAACAACUGUCUGUGAAUGACAAAGGACUGAAAAAUACCUGUUAAAUAUUUGAUGAAUGUUUGUUUUAACAUACUUGGCAAAGGAAUUUGAUUAUUUCUGUGGCGUGCAACAUUUUAAGGGCAGUCCAGUGAAUUCUUGGUAAUGAGCUUUUAGCACAAAGGACUUUGCAUGGGAAGACCCUGAGCUGCUGGAGUUUGAUUAGAGAGUUUUGCUGCCAUUCUUCGGGCCUUUGGCAAAGCUGUUUUCUGGUUAUCAGUAUUUACAUAGGAAUUCUUGACCUUUUCAGUAGAAAGCAUCGUGGGAAAACAUACAGAGUGGAACACAGGUAACAUGCUCAAAAGAGUGAUGAAUAAUUCCCAGAAUUCUGUCAAAGUUCUCCUGUGAUUUGCACAGGUCUGUUCUACAACCUGGAGAAGACUCUCCCUCUCAGGUCCCCCUUGUCUUCUACAGCAGGUGAGUUGUUGCAGCAUCCAUGUACAUCUAGCUCACCAUGCUCUGGCUGUAGUGUUUAUUAGCCUCGUUAUGUUUGUACCAACCCUACACUCCCUGAAGAUUCAAUUCCAGGGGAAGGUUCUGUAUG